GACGUAGGGAGCGAGCGUUAUCCGGAUUCAUUGGGCGUAAAGCGCGCGUAGGCGGCCGCGCAAGUCGGGUGUGAAAACCAGAGGCUCAACCUCUGGCCUGCAUCCGAAACUGCGUAGCUAGAGGCAGGUAGGGGAGAUCGGAAUUCCUGGUGUAGCGGUGAAAUGCGCAGAUAUCAGGAGGAACACCGGUGGCGAAGGCGGAUCUCUGGGCCUUACCUGACGCUGAGGUGCGAAAGCUAGGGGAGCGAACAGG
rnacentral:rRNA from 1 species